UACGGAGGGUGCAAGCAUUGAUCGGAAUUACUGGGCGUAAAGGGCGCGUAGGCGGUCUUAAAAGUCGGAUGUGAAAUUCCGGGGGCUCAACCCCGGAGCUGCAUUUGUAAACUACUAAGACUAGAGUGCAUUUAGUAGAAAACGGAAUUCCACGUGUAGCGGUGAAAUGCGUAGAUAUGUGGAAGAACACCGGUGGUGAAGACGGUUUUCCGGGUAUGACACUGACGCUGAGGCGCGAAAGCUAGGGGAGC
rnacentral:rRNA from 1 species